rnacentral:rRNA from 1 species
UACGGGGGGGGCAAGCGUUGUUCGGAAUUACUGGGCGUAAAGGGCUUGUAGGUGGCCAACUAAGUCAGACGUGAAAUCCCUCGGCUUAACUGGGGAACUGCGUCUGAGACUGGCGAGCUUGAGUGCAGGAGAGGAACGCAGAAUUCAAGGUGUAGCGGUGAAAUGCGUAGAUAUCUGGAGGAACACCGGUGGCGAAGGCGGCGUUCUGGACUGCAACUGACACUGAGAGACGAAAGCCAGGGGAGCAAACGGG